rnacentral:misc_RNA from 1 species
AAGUCGUAACAAGGUUUCCGUAGGUGAACCUGCGGAAGGAUCAUUAGUGAACGCCCUCACGGGCUUAACCAUCCAACCAACCUUUGUGAACCGUCGCCUUCGGGCGCUUUUAUAACAAACUAUAACAGUCAUGAACGUAGUAUACAAAAACUAAACACAACUUUCAACAACGGAUCUCUUGGCUCUC